AGGAUAAACGCUGGCGGCGUGCAUGAGACAUGCAAGUCGAACGGGGUUCCAUUGGGCUUGCUCGAUGGAACCUAGUGGCGGACGGCUGAGUAACGCGUAGGUGACCUACCCGGAAGUGGGGAAUAACUGCCCGAAAGGGUGGCUAAUACCGCAUGUGGUCGGCGAUUCGAUUCGCCGUCUAAAGGAGAAAUCCGCUUCCGGCGGGGCCUGCGUCCGAUUAGCUAGUUGGUGGGGUAACGGCUCACCAAGGCGACGAUCGGUAGCUGGUCUGAGAGGAUGAUCAGCCAGACUGGGACUGAGACACGGCCCAGACUCCUACGGGAGGCAGCAGUGGGGAAUAUUGCACAAUGGGCGGAAGCCUGAUGCAGCGACGCCGCGUGAGGGAUGACGGCCUUCGGGUUGUAAACCUCUUUCAGCAGGGACGAAGCGAGAGUGACGGUACCUGCAGAAGAAGCGCCGGCCAACUACGUGCCAGCAGCCGC
rnacentral:rRNA from 1 species